rnacentral:lncRNA from 1 species
AACAGAAGACGCGAUGCAGUCCGUCUCUCCGCUUUUAGAUAACAACCUGCCCAACCCAACCUGCCCACCUAAAACCCCAUUCGUCGCUUCAGGGCUACGCAGCCGCGAAAGGGCGGGUUGCUGAGUCUCACUCACGUCCCGACGGCCAGUACACGGGUCAAAUCGUACACGGGUCAAUGCAGCGCUGCCCGGCUGGGUAGACGUGUCGGGCUGGAGUGAGCACAUCAGCGGGACUCAGCACUGCUGGCAGCUCCCAGGUCUGUUUAAAGUGCUCAGGCUAGGGAAAGGGCUGGAGAUGGGAAGGGUGUGUGGCAAGAUGGGGGAAGGGUGGGGGACGGUGGGGAUGAGGUAGCGUGGAAUGGCGGAACGUAUACGCGGGCCAGCAGGAAGUACGGGGGCUGUCUAGAUAGGGCUGGGGAGAGCGCACGCUUCGGCGCACAGUCGUUGGGUUGUUGGGGUUAGGACGGGCAGCGCACUGAGCUCUCCGUCUACACCUGACCCCCUGGGACUUUCUUUGCCUGCCGUAUUGGCAACAUAGCCCCUUCCCUCCCCCCCUUUAGACACACACACACACACAUAGACACACACAUACACACACAUACACACACAUACACACACAUACACACCGUCCCUCUCUAGCGCGGGUUGAUUGUAAGAGUAUGCUCGUUCUUUGUCCGUUCCCGUUUCCUAUCCGUUAUCUGUCCGUUGCUUGUCCGUUACUUAUCGGUUACCUUUCCGUUGCUUAGCAUUACCUAUCCGGUGUUUAGGCCGUGUGGGUCACUACCCGACGACGUGGCGGAGCUGGUCGCCUUCCCGGCGGACCAGCGGCUGUCGGGCUAUAUCACCGGACAGGACCUUCUGUGCGAGGGAGGGGUGUCCAAGAAGAUGUGCUACUAUCCCGAGGAAUGAGGGCCUACGGGGUGGCGGGUGCUAAGAUAAUACUGCUUAGAGCGACAAGCGGACCCGAGCAUGUCCUGUGAUAGGGCGGGGGAAUGGAGGCUGGAGGGACAUGGGGAUGUGUGGAUGUGUAGAUGGGCGGGAUGAAUGACGCAGGCCCGGGCCAUGGGCCAUGGGCGGAAGCUCCGGAACCACGGGACGGUGAGGAGGACCCUGUUUUGAGGCUGUGGAGGGGGCCUUUACUUGCAGCAGCUUUGUCGCAGCAGUAGCAGCGCCGCCUUCGAAGACUGCGGGACCCGCUGUAACCACGUGAGGAUGAAGGGUUACGUAGAUGGGUAACGUAGAUGCGAAGAUACUCAUAACGAUGAUGUAAUCCAGGAAAGAAGAACGUGUCCAGGGAUGAUGUUUGACCAGUCUGUGAUUGCUUAACUUCUGGCGUUUUACGACGUGAAGAUGUCCUGAAGAAUCAGUUAAAAUAAGGAAGUAGCCUUUAAGUAGCCUAAUCUGUCAAGGAUGUCUGUUGCUGGAG